rnacentral:rRNA from 1 species
GAUGCACGCUGGCGGCGUGCCUAAUACAUGCAAGUCGAGCGAACGGACGAGAAGCUUGCUUCUCUGAUGUUAGCGGCGGACGGGUGAGUAACACGUGGAUAACCUACCUAUAAGACUGGGAUAACUUCGGGAAACCGGAGCUAAUACCGGAUAAUAUUUUGAACCGCAUGGUUCAAAAGUGAAAGACGGUCUUGCUGUCACUUAUAGAUGGAUCCGCGCUGCAUUAGCUAGUUGGUAAGGUAACGGCUUACCAAGGCAACGAUGCAUAGCCGACCUGAGAGGGUGAUCGGCCACACUGGAACUGAGACACGGUCCAGACUCCUACGGGAGGCAGCAGUAGGGAAUCUUCCGCAAUGGGCGAAAGCCUGACGGAGCAACGCCGCGUGAGUGAUGAAGGUCUUCGGAUCGUAAAACUCUGUUAUUAGGGAAGAACAUAUGUGUAAGUAACUGUGCACAUCUUGACGGUACCUAAUCAGAAAGCCACGGCUAACUACGUG